ensembl:lncRNA
CAGCACUUUGAGUCUGAUCCGAGUCAGUUCUUUCGAGUCAGCUCUUUCAGUCUGCUCUGAGUCAGAUCUUUAAGCUGGCACUUUUGACUUGGUUCUUUGAGUCAGCUCUGAGUCAGGUUUUGGAGUCAGCUUGUUGAGUCAGCACGCUGAGUCGACUCCUUGAGUCAUCUCUUUGAGUCUGCUCUGAGUCAGUUCUUUCGAGUCAGCUCUUUGAGUCUGCUCUGAGUCAGCUCUUUAAGCCGGCACUUUUGACUCGACUCUUUGAGCCAGCUCCGUGUCAGGUCUUUGACCCAGCUUGUUCAGUCGGCGCUCUGAGUCGACUCCUCGAGUCAUCUCUUUGAAUCGGCUCGUCGACUCGACUCUUUGACUCGG